GACUAGAUAACAUAGUAGGAUGAAUGUGUUAGAUUGCAAAUUUAAAGAGGGGUGUUCGAGUCACUCUCUAGUCU
rnacentral:tRNA from 1 species